rnacentral:rRNA from 1 species
AAUGAACGUUGGCGGCAUGGAUUAGGCAUGCAAGUCGAGCGAGAAGUGUAGCAAUACACGGAAAGCGGCGGAAGGGAGAGUAAUACGUGGGAAUCUGCCCUUAGACCUGGGAUAGCAGCGGGAAACUGCUGGUAAUACCAGAUAAUGUCUAUGGACCAAAGGUGUGAUUCCGUCUAGGGAUGAGCCCACGUCCGAUUAGCUAGUUGGUAGGGUAAUGGCCUACCAAGGCGAUGAUGGGUAGCGGGUGUGAGGGCAUGACCCGCCUCACUGGGACUGAGACACUGCCCAGACACCUACGGGUGGCUGCAGUCGAGAAUCUUCGGCAAUGGGCGCAAGCCUGACCGAGCGAUGCCGCGUGCGGGAUGAAGGCCUUCGGGUUGUAAACCGCUGUCGAGGGGGAGCAACUUCCAUAGAGUUAUCUUUAUGGAUUGAGUGAUCCCUGGAGGAAGGACGGGCUAAGUUCGUGCCAGCAGCCGCAGUAACAC